ensembl:lncRNA
UUUUUUUUUUUUUUUUUUUUUUUUUUGAGACGGAGUCUUACUCUGUCGCCCAGGCUGGAGUGCAGCGGCCGGAUCUCAGCUCACUGCAAGCUCCGUCUCCCGGUUUACGCCAUUCUCCUGCCUCAGCCUCCCGAGCAGCUGGGACUACAGGCGCCGCCACCUCGCCCGGCUAGUUUUUUGUAUUUUUUAGUAGAGACGGGGUUUCACUGUGUUAGCCAGGAUGGUCUCGAUCUCCUGACCUCGUGAUCCGCCCGUCUCGGCCUCCCAAAGUGCUGGGAUUACAGGCUUGAGCCACCGCGCCCGGCGGUCCCUGUUCUUCUGCCAAGGAAACUGAGGCACAGAGAAGUUUAGGGAACUUGACCCAUAUGAGAGAACCAGUCAUGGUCAAGCUUGGGUUGGAACAAACCACCCUUUUUGUAGCACUCACACUCUUAGGCACUACACGUCUCCUUGGAUACGCUGGAAAAACAGAAUACUGCAGCACACCGCGAACACGCAACGUCACAGUAACAAAGACGACACUGAGUCUUCAGCAACAUGGGAAUGCGUCAGAAGAGUACGGGGGUCUCUCAUGGAUGGCAUGAAUAGAAGACCCCUAGAAAGGAAGACACGGCUCAGCCCACCACCCUCAGGGGAAGGUGUUGGUUCUGCUCUACCUCCCAGUAGUUUCCCACCUCCGACAGGGGAAGGCCUCAGUGCCUAGGAGACCUCAGUACCUGGAAAGUCUCAGUACCGAGGCGACCUCAGUAUCGACGAGGUCUCAGUGCCUAAGAGAUCUCCUUGCCUAGGAGACCUCAGUAUCUAGGAGGUCACAACACCGAGGCGACCUCAGCACCGAGGAGGUCUCAGUACCUAGAAGGUCUCAGUACCUAGGAGACCUCAGUACCGAAGAGGUCACAACACUGAGGCGACCUCAGCACCGAGGAGGUCUCAGUACCUAGAAGGUCUCAGGACCUAGGAGACCUCAGUACCGAGGAGGUCACAACACCGAGGCGACCUCAGCACCGAGGAGGUCUCAGUACCUAGAAGGUCUCAGGAUCUAGGAGACCUCAGUACCGAGGAGGUCACAAUACCGAGGAGGUCUCAGUACCUAGGAGAUCUCAGUGCCUAGGAGACCUCAGUACCUAGGAGGUCUCAGCACUGAGGAGACCUCAGUAUCAACGAGGUCUCAGUACCUAAGAGAUCUCCGUGCCUAGGAGACCUCAGUACCUAGGUCUCAGCACCGAGGCGACCUCAGCACCGAGGAGGUCUCAGUACCUAGGAGAUCUCAGUGCCUACGAGACCUCAGUACCUAGGAGAUCUCAGUGCCUACGAGACCUCAGUACCUAGGAGGUCUCAGCACCGAGGCGACCUCAGUAUCAACGAGGUCUCAGUACCUCGGAGGUCUCAGCACCAAGGCGACCUCAGCACCGAGGAGGUCUCAGUACCUAGAAGGUCUCGGGACCUAGGAGGUCUGAGCACCGAGACGACCUCAGUACCGACGAGGUCUUAGUACCUACGAGAUCGCAGUGCCUAGGAGGUCUCAGUACCUAGGAGGGCUCAGGACCUAGGAGGUCCCAGCACCAAGGCGACCUCAGUACC